rnacentral:rRNA from 1 species
GACGAACGCUGGCGGCGUGCUUAACACAUGCAAGUCGAACGGAAAGGCCCUGCUUUUGUGGGGUGCUCGAGUGGCGAACGGGUGAGUAACACGUGAGUAACCUGCCCUUGACUCUGGGAUAACUUCAGGAAACUGGGGCUAAUACCGGAUAGGAGCUCCUGCUGCAUGGUGGGGGUUGGAAAGUUUCGGCGGUUGGGGAUGGACUCGCGGCUUAUCAGCUUGUUGGUGGGGUAGUGGCUUACCAAGGCUUUGACGGGUAGCCGGCCUGAGAGGGUGACCGGCCACAUUGGGACUGAGAUACGGCCCAGACUCCUACGGGAGGCAGCAGUGGGGAAUAUUGCACAAUGGGCGGAAGCCUGAUGCAGCAACGCCGCGUGCGGGAUGACGGCCUUCGGGUUGUAAACCGCUUUCGCCUGUGACGAAGCGUGAGUGACGGUAAUGGGUAAAGAAGCACCGGCUAACUACGUGCCAGCAGCCGCGGUGAUACGUAGGGUGCGAGCGUUGUCCGGAUUUAUUGGGCGUAAAGGGCUCGUGGGUGGUUGAUCGCGUCGGAAGUGUAAUCUUGGGGCUUAACCCUGAGCGUGCUUUCGAUACGGGUUGACUUGAGGAAGGUAGGGGAGAAUGGAAUUCCUGGUGGAGCGGUGGAAUGCGCAGAUAUCAGGAGGAACACCAGUGGCGAAGGCGGUUCUCUGGGCCUUUCCUGACGCUGAGGAGCGAAAGCGUGGGGAGCGAACAGGCUUAGAUACCCUGGUAGUCCACGCUGUAAACGGUGGGUACUAGGUGUGGGGUCCAUUCCACGGGUUCCGUGCCGUAGCUAACGCUUUAAGUACCCCGCCUGGGGAGUACGGCCGCAAGGCUAAAACUCAAAGGAAUUGACGGGGCCCCGCACAAGCGGCGGAGCAUGCGGAUUAAUUCGAUGCAACGCGUAGAACCUUACCUGGGUUUGACAUGGAUCGGGAGUGCUCAGAGAUGGGUGUGCCUCUUUUGGGGUCGGUUCACAGGUGGUGCAUGGCUGUCGUCAGCUCGUGUCGUGAGAUGUUGGGUUAAGUCCCGCAACGAGCGCAACCCUUGUUCACUGUUGCCAGCACGUUAUGGUGGGGACUCAGUGGAGACCGCCGGGGUCAACUCGGAGGAAGGUGGGGAUGACGUCAAGUCAUCAUGCCCCUUAUGUCCAGGGCUUCACGCAUGCUACAAUGGCUGGUACAGAGAGUGGCGAGCCUGUGAGGGUGAGCGAAUCUCGGAAAGCCGGUCUCAGUUCGGAUUGGGGUCUGCAACUCGACCUCAUGAAGUCGGAGUCGCUAGUAAUCGCAGAUCAGCAACGCUGCGGUGAAUACGUUCCCGGG